rnacentral:ncRNA from 1 species
AAUAAGCUUGGCUCUGACUUGCUUAUAUAGCUUAUAUAAAAAGAUACACAUGGUUUUGAUUGAAUGUGGUGAGGAUAAAAAUAGGAAAUGUAGGGUAAAUGAAAAAUUUACACUUUAUUUUUAUUUUUAGUAUUAUAAUUAUAGAUAAUGCUUUGAAAAGUCCCACUAACACCAGUGCUGGAGAUUAAUUAAUAAGUGAAAGCUUGAAUUAAUUAAAUAUAAAUAAUCUGGUUAAUUUGGUGCCAGCAUCCGCGGUUAGACCAAAAGAUUAAGUUAUAUAAAUAGGUAAAAAGAUAGUUAAGUAAAAGGAAAAGUUUAAUGAUUUUUUAUAGAAAGGUAAAAUUUGGAUAUAAAAAGCUAAUCUUUUUUAGGCUAUAAUACUGAAGCUAUGAUAAUUUUGAGGGAAACUGGGAUUAGAUACCCCAUUAUUCAUAAAUUGUAAAUAAAUGAAAAUUUACCAGAGUACUAUGAAUAUAUAAAAAUUUAAAACUCAAAGGGCUUGGCGGUGUUUUAGACCAAUUAGGGGAACCUGUCUCGUAAUCGACAGUCCACGAUAUACCUAACCUUUUUUGGUAAACAGUUUGUAUACCGUCGUCGUCAGGUAACUUUUAAAAAUAAAGAAGUUGGCAGAAAUAAUAGUUGUUGAUUAAGACGUCAGAUCAAGGUGCAGCCUAUAAAAAGGAGAGGAUGGGUUACAAUUAUAAAAUAAUAAUUACGGAUAGUUUAAUGAAAAAAGCUUAAAGGAGGACUUAAAAGUAAUGCUAUAAUAUAUAAAUAAUUUGAAUUAGGCUCUGAAACGUGCACACAUCGCCCGUCGCUCUCGUUGAAAAAUGAGAUAAGUCGUAACAUAGCAGGGGUAAUGGAAAUUGUCCCUAGAUGAAA